rnacentral:rRNA from 1 species
UACGGAGGGGACUAGCGUUGUUCGGAAUUACUGGGCGUAAAGCGCACGUAGGCGGAUUUGUAAGUCAGGGGUGAAAUCCCGGGGCUCAACCUCGGAACUGCCUUUGAUACUGCAAAUCUCGAGUCCGGAAGAGGUGAGUGGAAUUCCGGAGUGUAGAGGUGAAAUUCGAUAGAUAUUCGGAAGAAACACCAGUGGCGAAGGCGACUUACUGGACACAUAUUGACGCUGAGGUGCGAAAGCGUGGGGAGCAAACAGG